rnacentral:rRNA from 1 species
GCUCAGGACGAACGCUGGCGGCGUGCUUAACACAUGCAAGUCGAACGAUGAACCUCCUUCGGGAGGGGAUUAGUGGCGAACGGGUGAGUAACACGUGGGCAAUCUGCCCUUCACUCUGGGACAAGCCCUGGAAACGGGGUCUAAUACCGGAUACGACUGCGGAAGGCAUCUUCCGCGGUGGAAAGCUCCGGCGGUGAAGGAUGAGCCCGCGGCCUAUCAGCUUGUUGGUGGGGUAAUGGCCUACCAAGGCGACGACGGGUAGCCGGCCUGAGAGGGCGACCGGCCACACUGGGACUGAGACACGGCCCAGACUCCUACGGGAGGCAGCAGUGGGGAAUAUUGCACAAUGGGCGAAAGCCUGAUGCAGCGACGCCGCGUGAGGGAUGACGGCCUUCGGGUUGUAAACCUCUUUCAGCAGGGAAGAAGCGAAAGUGACGGUACCUGCAGAAGAAGCGCCGGCUAACUACGUGCCAGCAGCCGCGGUAAUACGUAGGGCGCAAGCGUUGUCCGGAAUUAUUGGGCGUAAAGAGCUCGUAGGCGGCCAGUCACGUCGGAUGUGAAAGCCCGAGGCUUAACCUCGGGUCUGCAUUCGAUACGGGCUGGCUAGAGUGUGGUAGGGGAGAUCGGAAUUCCUGGUGUAGCGGUGAAAUGCGCAGAUAUCAGGAGGAACACCGGUGGCGAAGGCGGAUCUCUGGGCCAUUACUGACGCUGAGGAGCGAAAGCGUGGGGAGCGAACAGGAUUAGAUACCCUGGUAGUCCACGCCGUAAACGUUGGGAACUAGGUGUUGGCGACAUUCCACGUCGUCGGUGCCGCAGCUAACGCAUUAA